AAAAUCAAUGGAGACAAUCAAUGGAUGAUCGACGGAGACACUCAGUGGACAGAUGAUCAGUGGAAAGACGACUGAUGAAGAUAAUCACUGGUUAGAUGGUUAAUAGACAAUCUAUGGACACAGUCGAUGAAUAGAUGAUCAGUGGAGAGAGAUCAAUGGAGAGAUGAUAGAUGGAGACGAUCGAUGGAUAACCGAUAGAGAAAUCACUGGAGAGGCAAUCAAUGGAGCGACAGUUUAUGGGUUCUCUCCCAAGCACUUAGUGCGGUGCUCCGCACAUAUCCUCAUCAUCUUCAUCGUCAUCGUCAGCAUCGUCACGACCACCAUGCCGACUGACCCUUCCCGCUCCGAGGGCACUGAACAGGGCACCGAAGAGCAAUAAAAGGCAGAGCGGCCCUAGGGCGGCCCCUCGAAAGCCAGCCGGAGGUUGGGUAAGAGGGACUGUGGCUUCUCGAAUGGCGGCUGAUAUCCUAACGAGUAGGGUGGGGGGGCACAGGAGGCCGGGCCAGAUGGAGAUGGAGAUGUCUCCAUCUCUCAUGAGUUUCCUCUUCUCUCUCUAGGUUCCUGUUUGUGCUGUUUAGUGCCAUUGUUCUUGUCUGUCCGUCUCCCCCGAUUAGACUGUAAGCCCGUCAAACGGCAGGGACUGUCUCUAUCUGUUGCCGACUUGUUCAUCCCAAGCGCUUAGUACAGUGCUCUGCACAUAGUAAGCGCUCAAUAAAUACUAUUGAAUGAAUGAAUGAAUGAACCCCCGGAAGGGGACUCCAAGCUGAAGCUGAGUCAGAGGGACCCAGAACCUGUGGGGUUGACGGGGAAGACAAGGUCCCCUCAGUGAUGGAUCAGUCCUGGGUCAGAGAGUUCCUCAUGGCUAACCCAAUCAGAAUCCUCCCGCCAACCAGCCACCCACCCUCACCACUCCCACAGUUCUCUGCCAGACUAUGGGAAUGAUUCUCCUAAAGGGGAAAUCAAGGCCCAGCAUCUCCAGUUGACUGCUGACAUCUUUACAUGAGGGACCGCUCUCUCCCCCAGCCUCACCUUGUCUGCCUCCAAGGCUCCGAGCACCCGGACGGCCUGCCUAUCCAUCCAUCAAUCCGUCUGCCACUCGGGCAAAGGAGCGUUUCUCAGAGAGGAACUCGUGGUCCCCCUCUGCCCCGCCUUUCAGCAGAGAGGGGCCUGUUGUCAGGGAAGAGAUGGGUUUGGGGUACACUGCUUCUCCACCAAGGGCUCUAAUGAGGAAGCGAUACGGUCCGUGUUUGGCUCCGAGAACUGCCUCACUGUCCUCUAAAGGACCCUGGGAGGCCAGCUGCCUGUCAUCUGGGCUGAGCGCGGAGGAUUUCUAAGGAGAGAAGUGCUCUACUCAUCGACUUGCGAUUGGACCAAUAAUGUGCGUCUGCUUCUGGACAGAGAGUAGGCCUUCUUUCCUCCCUGCCCUCAAUAAUGGAGGAAUGGGAAAGCCAGGUUCUGGAAUUAAUACUGCUUCCAUCUAAUUUCAGGCUUGUCGUUUCUCUGUUGAGGGGAAUGCUCUUUCCACAGGCCUUUUGGGAGGGCAGAAGGCAGCCAAGUGCCUCCUAAAAAGGAUUUGAAGAGAAUAUUGAACUCUUACGAUUGAGUGUCUGAGUGCCACCCCCCCACUUCUCCCCUACCCACAAAAAAUGGUGGCUUCUCAGUAACAGAUGCGGACUUGGGGUUCCUCUGGUCGGGAAAGAUGGGGGGUCCUUAGUAUGGAGAAAGCAACUCCAAUCCCAAGAGGCCUUCCCAGCCUAAACCUUAAUUUCCUUUUCUCCUACUCCCUUCUGUGUCACCCUUGCUCCCUUUGUUCACCCCUCUUUCGUCUCCACAGCAUUAAUGUACAUAUCCAUAAUUUAUUUCUUUAAUGUCCUCCUCCCCCUCUAGACUAUAAACUCUCCGUGGGCAGGGAACGUGUCUACCGACUCUGUUAUAUUGUACUCUCCCAAGUGUUUCUACAGAGCUCCGCACAAGGUAAGUUCUCAAUAAAUAUGAUUGAUUAUUUACUUGAUGAUGGUGAGGAGAUGCAGGAGGGCCCUUUGGGUCUCUCCAGCUGAUUCCCCCACUGCUCCUGGGGAGAGCCCUCCAGAGACGGGAGGAGGGACAGGAGGGAGGUGUCUCAGAAAACAUGCCUUCCUUCCCACCCCUCAGCCAGGAUUCCUGCUCUCUGCAGGCUGCUGUUGUUGAAGGAAGCCGAGUUGCAAGACUGCAAGAAGAGUCUGUGGGGGCUGAGAGAGUGUUACAGGGGCAGGGAGGAAACUGGGAGGAGUAGCCUUGGG
rnacentral:lncRNA from 1 species